rnacentral:lncRNA from 1 species
CAGAAUACAAGAGGCACAUUGAACAAAUGAUUCAAACAAUCAAUCGUGCUCCAAUUUACUCAGAAAUAUAUCAUUGGAUUAUACUUUCAGAUAAGACAGGCUUCAUAUGAAUUGAACCGUCCAAUAGAGAGAGUUACAAAUAAUUUGGUAACAAGGGUCGUAGAACAAAAUCUCUGUUUGGCAGAAUUCAUAAUGUCAGAUUCAACAGAUAACUGGGCAGGUGUUUGGAUUCCAAAUAUUUCAAUCCAUAUAUCAAAUGAAAGAUCUAUGAGUCUAGUUUCCAAUGAAAUAAGCUUUGAAUAAAUCAAUAUUUG